rnacentral:rRNA from 1 species
UACGUAGGCAGCGAGCGUUGUUCGGAGUUACUGGGCGUAAAGGGCGCGUAGGCGGCCGAUUAAGUCGGGGUGAAAGCCUGUGGCUCAACCACAGAAUUUGCCUCGAUACUGGUUGGCUUGAGACCGGAAGAGGACAGCGGAACUGCGAAGUGUAGAGGUGAAAUUCGUAGAUAUUCGCAAGAACACCAGUGGCGAAGGCG